GAUGAACGCUGGCGGCGUGCCUAAUACAUGCAAGUCGAACGAGGUGCUUGAGUAGCAAUACAAGAGUAUCCUAGUGGCGAACGGGUGAGUAACGCGUGGGUGACCUGCCCCGAAGUGUGGGAUAACAGUCCGAAAGGAUUGCUAAUACCUCAUGUGGUUAUCGGAUUUAGAAACUGAUAACUAAAGCAGCAAUGCGCUUUGGGAGGGACCUGCGUCCCAUCAGCUAGUUGGUGAGGUAAUGGCUCACCAAGGCUACGACGGGUAGGGACCUGAGAGGGUGGCCCCCCACAAUGGAACUGAAACACGGUCCAUACACCUACGGGUGGCAGCAGUAGGGAAUAUUGCACAAUGGGCGAAAGCCUGAUGCAGCAAUGCCGCGUGUGCGAUGAAGGCCUUGGGUCGUAAAGCACUUUUCUGAGAGAUGAGAAAGGACAGUAUCUCAGGAAUAAGUCUCGGCUAACUACGUGCCAGCAGACG
rnacentral:rRNA from 1 species